GCUUUGUCGUCCUCUUGCAGCAGCUGUCAUUGGUUUCGGUGAUCUCAAAAUAAAAGCUGGCCUUCAGGUCCUCAAUGAGUUCCUGGCUGACAAAAGCUACAUCGAGGGGUAUGUAUCCUCCCAGGCUGAUAUUGCAGUAUUUGGGGCAUUCUCUGGUGCUCCCCCUGUUGACCUCUUUCAUGCCUUUAGAUGGUAUAACCAUAUCAAAUCAUAUGAGAAGCAAGCAUUCAGCCUUCCUGGAGUGAAGAAACCACUAGUGAAAUAUGGACCAGUGAACAUUGAAGGCACAACAGACAGCACUGCUAAA